rnacentral:lncRNA from 10 species
CUUCCGCGCUCUUUGAAAUGUCCGGCGCCGGAAUGUCUGGGUGCUUUGGUUGGAGAGGGUCCCAUUUCCAGUCAUUCUUCAGCCUGGUGAUUCCCGCGCUCCCCUGAGGAGCAUAUGAAGUACGUCGGUUCUGCCAGGUUGGAACGCGCUGCUGGACACUCGGCCGUAAGGCGGAUCCCGGAUCCCCUCCCACUCCGACCCUUCCCUCCAGAAGGGCCGGUUCCCAAACGGCCCCUUUAGACACAUCCAAGCGGUUGCCGACGGCCCUCACGAUGAAAACUGCUGUCCGUUGGUGAAGGCAGCCUCUUCUGUGCUCCUCGCCGCUGACUUCCUGAGGCGGACCUACCUGUGGAGGCAUACCAGGAACCAGACGAUGACCCCCUCCAAAAGUUGGGUCUUUGAGGAGAGCUACUAACUUGGGUUCCUGGUACACCCUCUACAUGCAGUGGUGAAGCUUAUCUAACAGUCAUUCAUAGAAUCAGUUUGGGAAGGGGAAUUUUCACUGAACUCUCAUAGAGAAACUGUGUUUUAGAUAACAGAAAGUUCUGCACGGUUAAAAUGGAACAGAAAUUUUUUUGCACAGAAAUUAGGAUUACCGAAAAUACUGAAGAAAGACUACCUCUGAUUGGACUCUUCUCAAGGAAUUAAUAAUUCAAGAACUAAGGAAAGAAAAAAGUGAUUAUAUGAAAAUACUGAAGUUGAUCGUAGCAGCUGAAGGCUGAUCCUGUGUGGGUAAAUGUAAACGCUGAAUUCCCACAUUCCAAUGUGCGACCUGGGAUUAAGGCAGCAAUUGAGCAGGGCUGAAGUACAUUGGUGCAAUCUUGGCUCACUGCAUCUCCACCCCAGGUUCAAGCGAUUCUCCUGCCUCAGCCUCCCAAGCAGCUGGGAUUACAGGUAUGUAGCACAAUGCCCG